rnacentral:rRNA from 1 species
GGUCCGCAGGGGGUGAGGCAAGUCUGCUGUGAAAGCUCAUGGCUCAACCAUGGAAUUGCAGUGGAUACUGCCUGACUAGAGGACUGGAGAGGAAAGCGGAAUUCCUGGUGUAGCGGUGGAAUGCUUGGAUAUCAGGAGGAACACCGAUGGCGAAGGCAGCUUUCUGGCCAGUACCUGACCCUCAUGGACGAAAGCCGGGGGAGCGAACAGGAUUAGAUACCCUGGUAGUCCCGGCCGUAAACGUUGUAGACUCGAUGUGGGAGGAUUGACCCCUUCCGUGUCUAAGCUAACGCGUUAAGUCUACCGCCUGGGGAGUACGGCGGCAACGCUAAAACUCAAAGGAAUUGACGGGGGCCCCGCACAAGCGGUGGAGCAUGUGGCUUAAUUCGAGGCAACGCGAAGAACCUUACCUGGGCUUGACAUAUUACCUGACCGCCGGUGAAAGUCGGUUUCCCUUCGGGGCAGGUAUACAGAUGCUGCAUGGCUGUCGUCAGCUCGUGUCGUGAGAUGUUCGGUUAAGUCCGGCAAACGAGCGCAACCCGUUAUCACCAAGUUGCCAAGCGCGUCAUGGCGGGGACUCUGGUGAGACUGCCUGUGUCAAGCGGGAGGAAGGCGCGGAUGACGUCAAGUCAGUAUGGCUCUUACGCCCAGGGCUGCACACGUGCUGCAAUGGACGGUUCAAUGGGAAGCGAGCCCGCGAGGGUCAGCAGAUCCCCAACACCGUUCCCAGUUCGGAUUGGAGUCUGCAACUCGACUCCAUGAAGUCGGAAUCGCUAGU